AUUGAACGCUGGCGGCAUGCCUUACACAUGCAAGUCGAACGGCAGCACGGGUGCUUGCACCUGGUGGCGAGUGGCGAACGGGUGAGUAAUACAUCGGAACAUGUCCUGUAGCGGGGGAUAGCCCGGCGAAAGCCGGAUUAAUACCGCAUACGAUCUACGGAUGAAAGCGGGGGCCCUUCGGGCCUCGCGCUAUAGGGUUGGCCGAUGGCUGAUUAGCUAGUUGGUGGGGUAAAGGCCUACCAAGGCGACGAUCAGUAGCUGGUCUGAGAGGGCGACCAGCCACACUGGGACUGAGACACGGCCCAGACUCCUACGGGAGGCAGCAGUGGGGAAUUUUGGACAAUGGGCGAAAGCCUGAUCCAGCAAUGCCGCGUGUGUGAAGAAGGCCUUCGGGUUGUAAAGCACUUUUGUCCGGAAAGAAAUCCUUGGCCCUAAUACGGUCGGGGGAUGACGGUACCGGAAGAAUAAGCACCGGCUAACUACGUG
rnacentral:rRNA from 1 species